rnacentral:tRNA from 1 species
GGGGGCGGAUUGGUCCUGGUGGGUCGCCUGGUCUUCAAAACCACGGUGGGGCGUUAAGAGCGUCCUGGGUGGGUUCGAUUCCCACACGCCCCCGCCA